GUGGUCUCAGGCGACUUUCACCAUCAAGCAACCCAUUUGGUCCAGUGUAGACAUCCAAUACAUGAGAUGAUGAGGGUAACAUUGUAAUUACAACAUCACUAGCUUCUGCAACUUCAAAUGAUGUUUGUUUUGCUGGAACUCCCUUGUCAGUAAACAUCUUGAUGACAUUACAAUUUACGUCAUGAACAACCACUUUGUAUCCAGCCUUAAUUAGGUUGUUUGCCAUUCUGGAUCCCAUAUUUCCCAGCCCAAUGAAUCCAACACUCUCAAACUGAGAACAGGGUGGUGAUGUAGAGAAGCUGCAAACUGGAGCAUAUGUAGAGAGUGUGGAUUUGGUGUUGAAGACAGAAAGUAGUGAUCUCACUCUGUAUAGUGUUGCCAUGGAUAACUCUCCCACACAAGCUUGAGCUCAGAGAAAGCUGUGUCAAAUUUUAUUAUUCCC
rnacentral:misc_RNA from 1 species